UACGGGGGGGGGCAAGCGUUUGUUCGGAAUUACUGGGCGUAAAGGGCUCGUAGGCGGCCAACUAAGUCAGACGUGAAAUCCCUCGGCUUAACCGGGGGAACUGCGUCUGAUACUGGAUGGCUUGAGUGUGGGAGAGGGAUGCGGAAUUCCAGGUGUAGCGGUGAAAUGCGUAGAUAUCUGGAGGAACACCGGUGGCGAAGGCGGCAUCCUGGACCACGACUGACGCUGAGUGAGCGAAAGCCAGGGGAGCAAACGGG
rnacentral:rRNA from 1 species